AGUGAACGCUGGCGGUAGGCCUAACACAUGCAAGUCGAACGGCAGCACAGUAAGAGCUUGCUCUUACGGGUGGCGAGUGGCGGACGGGUGAGGAAUAAAUCGGAAUCUACUUUUUCGUGGGGGAUAACGUAGGGAAACUUACGCUAAUACCGCAUACGACCUACGGGUGAAAGCAGGGGAUCUUCGGACCUUGCGCGAUUGAAUGAGCCGAUGUCGGAUUAGCUAGUUGGCGGGGUAAAGGCCCACCUAGGCGACGAUCCGUAGCUGGUCUGAGAGGAUGAUCAGCCACACUGGAACUGAGACACGGUCCAGACUCCUACGGGAGGCAGCAGUGGGGAAUAUUGGACAAUGGGCGCAAGCCUGAUCCAGCCAUACCGCGUGGGUGAAGAAGGCCUUCGGGUUGUAAAGCCCUUUUGUUGGGAAAGAAAAGCAGCAGGUUAAUACCCCGCUGUUCUGACGGUACCCAAAGAAUAAGCACCGGCUAACUUCGUG
rnacentral:rRNA from 1 species